CCAGACUCCUACGGGAGGCAGCAGUGGGGAAUAUUGCACAAUGGGGGAAACCCUGAUGCAGCGACGCCGCGUGAGUGAAGAAGUAUUUCGGUACGUAAAGCUCUAUCAGCAGGGAAGAAAAUGACGGUACCUGACCAAGAAGCCCCGGCUAACUACGUGCCAGCAGCCGCGGUAAUACGUAGGGGGCAAGCGUUAUCCGGAUUUACUGGGUGUAAAGGGAGCGUAGACGGCAGUGCAAGUCUGGAGUGAAAGGCGGGGGCGCAACCCCCGGACUGCUCUGGAAACUGUACGGCUGGAGUGCAGGAGAGGUAAGUGGAAUUCCUAGUGUAGCGGUGAAAUGCGUAGAUAUUAGGAGGAACACCAGUGGCGAAGGCGGCUUACUGGACGUUAACUGACGUUGAGGCUCGAAAGCGUGGGGAGCAAACAGGAUUAGAUACCCGUGUAAUA
rnacentral:rRNA from 1 species